rnacentral:rRNA from 1 species
GACGAACGCUGGCGGCGUGCUUAACACAUGCAAGUCGAACGGAAAGGCCCUGCUUUUGUGGGGUGCUCGAGUGGCGAACGGGUGAGUAACACGUGAGUAACCUGCCCUUCACUUUGGGAUAACUUCAGGAAACUGGGGCUAAUACCGGAUAGGAGCUCCUGCUGCAUGGUGGGGGUUGGAAAGUUUCGGCGGUUGGGGAUGGACUCGCGGCUUAUCAGCUUGUUGGUGGGGUAGUGGCUUACCAAGGCUUUGACGGGUAGCCGGCCUGAGAGGGUGACCGGCCACAUUGGGACUGAGAUACGGCCCAGACUCCUACGGGAGGCAGCAGUGGGGAAUAUUGCACAAUGGGCGGAAGCCUGAUGCAGCAACGCCGCGUGCGGGAUGACGGCCUUCGGGUUGUAAACCGCUUUCGCCUGUGACGAAGCGUGAGUGACGGUAAUGGGUAAAGAAGCACCGGCUAACUACGUG